GAGUGGAGCAAUAGGCUAGCACGUUCGGCUGUUAACCGAAAGGUUGGUGGUUCGAGCCCACCCAGGGACG
rnacentral:tRNA from 1 species